GUCGGGAAUUUUGGGCAAUGGGCGAAAGCCUGACCCAGCAACGCCGCGUGAAGGAUGAAAUCCCUCGGGAUGUAAACUUCGCAAGAACGGGAAGAAUAAGUCUGUGUAAAUACCACUGACGAUGACGGUACCGUUUGUAAGCUCCGGCUAACUCCGUGCCAGCAGCCGCGGUAAUACGGGGGGAGCAAGCGUUGUUCGGAUUUACUGGGCGUAAAGGGCGCGUAGGCGGCCAGUGCAAGUCAGUUGUGAAAUCUCCGAGCUUAACUCGGAAAGGUCAACUGAUACUGCUCGGCUAGAGUGCGGAAGGGGCAACUGGAAUUCUUGGUGUAGCGGUGAAAUGCGUAGAUAUCAAGAGGAACACCUGCGGCGAAGGCGGGUUGCUGGGCCGACACUGACGCUGAGGCGCGAAAGCUAGGGGAGCGAACGGGAUUAGAUACCCUGGUAGUCC
rnacentral:rRNA from 1 species